rnacentral:rRNA from 1 species
AGAGUUUGAUCCUGGCUCAGGAUGAACGCUAGCUACAGGCUUAACACAUGCAAGUCGAGGGGCAGCAUGGACCCAGCUUUGCUGGGUUUGAUGGCGACCGGCGCACGGGUGAGUAACGCGUAUCCAACCUGCCCUUUACUCCGGGAUAGUCUCCUGAAAGGGAGUUUAAUACCGGAUGUGUUUGUCUUUCCGCAUGGGAGCGACAAAUAAAGAUUAAUUGGUAAAGGAUGGGGAUGCGUCCCAUUAGCUUGUUGGCGGGGUAACGGCCCACCAAGGCGACGAUGGGUAGGGGUUCUGAGAGGAAGGUCCCCCACAUUGGAACUGAGACACGGUCCAAACUCCUACGGGAGGCAGCAGUGAGGAAUAUUGGUCAAUGGGCGGGAGCCUGAACCAGCCAAGUAGCGUGAAGGACGACGGCCCUACGGGUUGUAAACUUCUUUUAUAAGGGAAUAAAGUUCGCCACGUGUGGUGUUUUGUAUGUACCUUAUGAAUAAGCAUCGGCUAAUUCCGUGCCAGCAGCCGCGGUAAUACGGAAGAUGCGAGCGUUAUCCGGAUUUAUUGGGUUUAAAGGGAGCGUAGGCGGGCUUUUAAGUCAGCGGUCAAAUGUCGUGGCUCAACCAUGUCAAGCCGUUGAAACUGUAAGCCUUGAGUCUGCACAGGGCACAUGGAAUUCGUGGUGUAGCGGUGAAAUGCUUAGAUAUCACGAAGAACUCCGAUCGCGAAGGCAUUGUGCCGGGGCAUAACUGACGCUGAGGCUCGAAAGUGCGGGUAUCAAACAGGAUUAGAUACCCUGGUAGUCCGCACGGUAAACGAUGAAUGCUCGCUAUGGGCGAUAUAUUGUCCGUGGCCAAGCGAAAGCGUUAAGCAUUCCACCUGGGGAGUACGCCGGCAACGGUGAAACUCAAAGGAAUUGACGGGGGCCCGCAC